UACAGAGGUGGCAAGCAUUGUUCGGAUUUAUUGGGCGUAAAGGGUCUGUAGGCGGUCUGGAAAGUCGGAUGUGAAAUCCCACAGCUCAACUGUGGAACUGCAUUCGAAACUUCCGGACUAGAGUGUGAGAGGGGUGAAGGGAAUUCCCGGUGUAAGGGUGAAAUCUGCAGAGAUCGGGAGGAACACCAGUCGCGAAGGCGCUUCACUGGCUCACUACUGACGCUGAGGGACGAAAGCUAGGGUAGCAAACGGG
rnacentral:rRNA from 1 species